rnacentral:rRNA from 1 species
AAUCAACGCUGGCGGCGUGCCUCAGACAUGCAAGUCGAACGAUUAAAGCUCUCUUCGGAGAGUGUAUAGAGUGGCGCACGGGUGAGUAACACGUAAGUAAUCUACCCUCGAGUGGGGAAUAACGUCCGGAAACGGACGCUAAUACCGCAUAAUGCAGCGGCACCGCAAGGUGACAGUUGUUAAAGGAGAAAUUCGCUUGAGGAGGAGCUUGCGGCAGAUUAGCUUGNGGUAAGGUAACGGCUUACCAAGGCUACGAUCUGUAACCGGUCUUAGAGGACGGUCGGUCACACUGACACUGAAUAACGGGUCAGACUCCUACGGGAGGCAGCAGUCGGGAAUUUUGGGCAAUGGGCGAAAGCCUGACCCAGCAACGCCGCGUAGAAGGAUGAAGUAUUUCGGUAUGUAAACUUCGAAAGAAUAGGAAGAAUAAAUGACGGUACUAUUUAUAAGGUCCGG